rnacentral:rRNA from 1 species
CCUGCAAAACGAAUCUAAGUUCCCCCUUAACCCUCUUUUUCCUCCCCAGACAAACCCAACCCAAAUGUGAUAGUUAAGGGCUAUUUAAAGGGGGUACAGCCCCUUUAAAAAAGGACACAGCCUCCACCAGCGGAUAACCCCUGUACGCCCAACCCCGUGGGCCUUAAAGCAGCCACCCCCAAAGAUUGCGUCAAAGCUCCAUCAACCAAAAACCCCCAAAACCAAUGCGACUCCCUACACCCACAGCAGGCCAACCUAUAACAAUAGAUGAAUCAAUGCUAGAACGAGUAACCAGGACACUACGUCCCCCCAAGCGCCAGCCUGUAUACCAUUAACAGUAAAACCUCAAUAAUAACCACCCCCACCAUUGAACCCACCCUGUCAACCCAACUCAGGGGCGCACACUGGAGUGAUCAAAAUCUACAAAAGGAACUCGGCAAACCUAAGACCCGACUGUUUACCAAAAACAUAGCCUUCAGCCAAACAAGUAUUGAAGGUGAUGCCUGCCCAGUGACACCAUGUUUAACGGCCGCGGUA